rnacentral:rRNA from 1 species
GACGAACGCUGGCGGCGUGCUUAACACAUGCAAGUCGAACGAUGAAGGAGAGCUUGCUCUCCGGAUUAGUGGCGAACGGGUGAGUAACACGUGACUAACCUGCCCCUUUCUCUGGGAUAACGCUCCGACAGGAGUGCUAAUACCGGAUACGAACUCUGAACACAUGUUCGGAGUUGGAAAGUUUUUCGGAAAGGGAUGGAGUCGCGCCCUAUCAGCUUGUUGGUGAGGUAACGGCUCACCAAGGCGACGACGGGUAGCCGGCCUGAGAGGGCGACCGGCCACACUGGGACUGCGACACGGCCCAGACUCCUGCGGGAGGCAGCAGUGGGGAAUAAUGCACAAUGGGCGAAAGCCUGAUGCAGCGACGCCGCGUGAGGGAUGAAGGUCUUCGGAUUGUAAACCUCGCUCAGUAGGGACGAAGCGAAAGUGACGGUACCUAAAGAAGAAGCAGCGGCUAACUACGUGCCAGCAGCCGCGGUAA